GCUCGUCAGUAGUUUAACGGAUAGAGCAGCGCUCCCGGAAAGGGUGAGGUACGGGUUCUAAUCCCACCUGAAGCA